GUCUGGGAUGUUUAAGGAGAUGCCUGGAGGUGAUACCUGGAGGUGAAUAUGGUAUCACCACCAAGCAUCUCCUUAAACAAACUCAGUCCUUUGGAACCAGUUAACUCUCCUAGAGGAAGGAGAUGGAAGGAAAUCACCAUAUCUUUAGAGAACAAAGAUUUGUCUUGCCUCAUGUGUGGGCUCACUAGUUAGACCUCCAUACAUAUACUUUUCCUUUUGUAACUGUUUCAUUUUUCCCACACACAUACAUCUGGUCCAUGAUAUAAGAUCUCAGUCUUUCUUUUAAAGACAUUUUUGUUGUAAUUUUGCUUACUCAGUCCAAUUACUUAUGGGAGUAAGCAAUAUUUUUUUAGUUGUAGAUGGACACAAUACCUUUAUUUUUACUUAUUUAUUUUAUGUGGUGCUGAGGAUCGAACCUAGUGCCACACAAGUAAGAGGCAAGUGCUCUAACACUGAUCCACAACCCCAGUCCUCAGUUCAUCUUCUUUUAUUUGUCGUUCAUUCUUUUAUUUAUUCAUUCAUUUUUUUUGGUACCAGGGAUUUAACCCAGGGGUGCUUAACCACGGUGCCACAUCCCCAGCCCUGUUUAUUUUUUAUUUUGAGACACAGUCUCACUGAGUACUUAGUACCUCGCUGUUGCUGAGGCUGGCUUUGAAUUCAUGAUCCUCCUGCAUCAGCCUCCCACGCCUCUGGGAUUACAGAUGCGCACCACCAUGCCUGGCUUCUUCUAUUCUUUUUUACUUGACUUUAAGACCAUGCUUAGGUCCUUCUUAGUUUCCUGAGUGAAACUGAUUUUUUGUGACAAAAUGUUCUAGGCACAGACCUUUAUUUUUCUUUUUGCAAUUUUCUUCUUAAUUUAGUUUUUAAUUGCCAUAAGUUAUAUUGACUUUGGCAUACAGUUGUAUGGUUCUACGGUUUUUAACACAGGUAUAGAUUUCUGUAGCCAUCACUAAAAUUGAGAUACAAUUUUAUAACCCAAAAAAACUCUCUGUGCAGUCCGUUUAUUGUUAUACUCUGCCCUCAUCCCGAACUACUAGAAACCACUCGUGUGUUCUCUACCCUUAUAGUUUUGCCUUUUCCAGAAUGUCAUAUAAUCAUAUUAUAAUGAAUACAAUCAUUUAAGAUUGCCUUGCUUCACUUAGCAUAAUGCCUUUGAAAUUCAUCCAAGUUGUUGUGUGCCAAAUGCUUGUUCUUUUUAUGGUCCAGUGGUAUUCCAUUGUACAGUCGUACCUACCAGUUUGUUCUCCCAUUCAUCCACCCAUGUAAGGACAUUUGGGUUGUUUCCAAUUUUUGGUGAUUAUCAAAAAAGCUGCUAUAAACAUUCAGGUAAAGCAUUGGUAUGUUAACACACAUUUUAAUUUCUCUUAUGUAAAUACUCAAGAGUUGGAUUGCCAACUCAUGUACAGGUGCACAUUUUAACAUUAUAAGAAAAUGACAGAUAGUUUACAGUAUAUACUAAAGCAUUUGCACCAACAAUGUAUAAAUUUCACUUGUUUCAUGUCCUUGCCAACAUUGAGUUUUCUCAGUAAUUUUCAUUUAAGUAAUUCUAUUAAGUGUGUAGUGGCAUCUCCUUGUUGUUUAAAUUUGUAUUUAGCAUAUGGUUAAUGAUGCUGGAUAUCUUUUCAUCAUUUUGGUGAAGUGUUUGCUCAAAUGGAUUGUUGUGAGAAAUGUUUUGUAAGUCUGUUAGUUCUAAUUGCUUUAUAGUAUUGUUCAAGUGCUCUAUUUCCUUAUUGAUUUUCUGUCUAGUUGUUCUUUCCAAUUUCUAAAGUAAGGAGUUGAAGUCUCCAAGUAUUGUUGCACUAUUCCUGCCUUAAAUUCUCAGUUCUUGCUUCAUAUAUAUUAGAGGUCUAUUGUUAGGUAUGUAUAUGCUUAUAAUUGUUACAUAUUUUUAUGGAAUUAUCAAUAUGUAAUGUAGGUAUUUGGAAUUACAGUAACAGUUUUUGAUGUAAAAUCUAUUUUUAUCUGAAAUUAGUAUAGCUACCACCAGUAUAUUUUUGUUAUUGUUUGCAGUGAAUAUAUUUCCAACCUUUUACUUUGAAUCAGUUUGUGUUGUUGGAUCUGAAGUGAGUCUCUUGUAAGCAUGUAUAGAUCAUGAAUCAUUUAUUUUUAUCCAUUCUCUAAUCUCUGCCUUUUAAUCAGAAUAUUUUAUUAAGACAUGUAUUUAUUGAUAAGAAAGGAUUUAUUCCUGUCAUUUUCUUAUUUGUUUUAUAUAUGUCUUUGUUGUUUCUCAAUUCCUAGGUUAUUGCCAUCUUUUGGGUUUAUUGGUCUUCUAUAGUCUAC
rnacentral:lncRNA from 1 species